rnacentral:tRNA from 1 species
UCUCUAUUAGCUCAGCUGGUAAAGAAUCCACCUGCAAUGUGGGAGACCUGGGUUCGAUCCCUGGGUUGGGAA